rnacentral:rRNA from 1 species
UUUCCGUAGGUGAANCUGCGGAAGGAUCAUUA